rnacentral:rRNA from 1 species
GCAAGUCGAGGGGUAACAGAGGUGCUUGCUUCUGCUGACGACCGGCGCACGGGUGCGUAACGCGUAUACAAUCUGCCUUGUACUAAGGGAUAGCCCAGAGAAAUUUGGAUUAAUACCUUAUAGUUUGUAAUUAAGGCAUCCUGAUUACAAUAAAGGAUACGGUACAAGAUGAGUAUGCGUCCCAUUAGUUAGUUGGUAAGGUAACGGCUUACCAAGACUGCGAUGGGUAGGGGCCCUGAGAGGGGGAUC